UGUGUGUGUGUGUGCGUGUGUGUGUGUGUGUCUAAGGGGCGGGGGAUAGAUAUGGUAGCAGGUAGCAGCUUGUGUGUAUGGGAGGGGGUGUUUAUGUAAACCCAUGCUCUACAGUAUAUAUAGGAGUGAGAGAUAGCAAAAAAAAGCAGAUCUCCUGUUUUGUCCUUUAUAAUUCUUGAUACUGACCCUGCUCUGCUGUAGCCAUGACGACCAUGCUGCUGAGCGCACUAGGAGCACUGCUCUGCUCCUUGGUUGUCACCGCUGAGGUCAUGCCCCAAGGAGACUUCAAUCUACAGGGGGGGGCAGGAAAGUGGUAUGUGAUUGGAUUUGCCACCAAUGCCCAUCAACCACAAGGCCAGCAUGAAGAUGGGCAACGCCAUGCUGACACCAACUGCUGACGGAGACCAGGAAAUGGCAUAUUCUAGCCGGAAGUAAGAGAGAGAGAGAAAGAGAGACAUUGUGCUGAUUCUGUUUGAACUGUAUUGUCUCUGUAGCGCUGAUGGCUCCUGCUGGAGAAUGAACCACCUGGCCAAGAAGACAAACCUUCUGGGGAAAUUCAUCUACAAUAGCGAGCGCUGGAGUAAUGAAAAUGACAUGUGUGUCGUUGACGUUAAGUAUGACGAGUAUGCUCUUAUUCACACCAAGAGCAAGGGUGUUUCAGCUGUGCUCACCAACCUGUAUGGUACGAUCCUUUCCACUCCUCUGAAAAAUCCUAUGACUCAAGUCUCAUUGUUUCACUAUUCCUUUCCCCAUCAUUUGUUAGAAAUCUUAUAUUACAAAAUAUUGCAUCCUUCACAGUGUAUUUAGUCUGCCAUGUAUUGUACCGUGGGACAGACCUGAGCCCUGACCUGCUGCAGAAGUUUAGGCAGUUCUCCCUGGACACUGGCUAUCCUCCCCAAAAAUGCUACAGCCCAUCUGUGCAGCCCAUCUGUACAGCCCAUUUAGGAAGUGUGUUUAAGUUGCACAAUAUUUCUUGAUAGAAGUGUGGAAUGUUUCAGACAUAAUUAUCAACCUUAUUUCUCUCUUUCUGCAGAUGAGUGUCCUGCUGUGUAAUUUCAUCCAUGUUUUUUACUUUCUAAACAUGCUCCCUUGAUCAGUCUGCAUGGCAUUGCUACUCGGUCGGUAGACCCAUGGCAACUGUGGCAACCAUGAACCCCCUUUAGCUCCACUGACCCAUCAGGCUCCGCCUUCACUAGGCAAUUCAGAUGCAAGUUAAUCCCAACGUAGCUGUAAACUCUGUUAGUUUUUCACUUCUCUGACUUGCUCCAAUGAAAUACUGUCUCGUGCUUUUUCAGUUUGUCAGUCAUUCUACUCUUCGGAUGACUAGAAUAUGUUGGGUAUUUAAUACCUCUGAUCCUAAGAUGUAAUGUUAGCUGCUUUAGAAGUCUACAUGUUGAUCAAAUGUAAUGUAAACCCAGCUCUAAAAGUAACCUUGGUGUACUAUCAUUCUAUUGAAAAUGUCAUCCUACUCCUUGCAAGUACAUCCAUAACACAGCUCUGAUUCCUCCUGUUGUAUGUUAAGGGUUUACAUCUACACACUUUAUUUACAAAUGUGUACAAAACAAUAAUUUACCUCCUAUAGAAUUCUAGUUACACUGAAUUAUACAACAAAGUUCAUGAUGAUGAAAUAAAUAUAAAAACAAAAAUGAUCACAGGGGAAGGAACUGUCGAGGCCAGAGUACAAAUAUACCACCAGUCUUUACAAGUUGUAUUUCUCCUCAGGGGACUAAUGCCUCUCCCUGGCCACUGGCAUAAGUAGAUGUGUGUUUGGGUAAAGGAAGUAUGUUGUGGUCAUGAGUCUGUGGUACCAGAUCUAGUGCAAUCUAACUCUGAAGGCCUCGCUGGCGCUGCAUCAUACUUCAGGUCUCUGAUAAUCAAGCUUAUUAGGGGUUAAAUAUUCUGUAUGAAGAUGGGUUUAUGGGUUGGUUCUAAAUGAUACUGCUUACCUGUUAGAUCACCCCCAUGGGAUAAACAACCACAUCUAGUAUCUCAUUUUGUGUAAAGAAGUGAAUCAACUAAAAGACACCUCUCUGAAGCCGCAGCUUUUACAAUGGACAUGGCUAUUUGCUAUGAUGCAGUCAACUCCUUCUCUAGGCAUUGUCCAUGACCAGACAGACAGUUCUCCUCAAAACAACAAAGUAAUGAUGACAUAGAGAUGUGGGGUCAGAGCACCAGGAAGCGCAAUACGCUAUGAAAGUCCCGCCUACUUCCUUGUUCAAAUCCUGUACUGUUUUUGAAUGGGCGUCAAGCUUAUCAUAUUCAUGAAAACGUGGUCAUUUACGAUAUAUGUCAAAUUAUAUUUGUAUUUGUGGAUUAAUUUACUUCUACCUGAUGUCUUUCAUGAAUAUUUACGAUUUCAUUAGAAUUUUCCGUAAUCAAAAAUCUUCAAAAAUAUAUUGGGUAACCUGAAUUCUGGCAUAUCAGAACGUAUACCACGGGUAUGACAAAACAUUUAGUUUCACUGCUCUAAUUACGUUGGUAACCAGUUUAUAAUAGCAAUAAGGUUCCUCGGGGGUUUGUAAUAUUUGCCCAAUAUACCACGGAUAAGGGCUGUGUCCAGGCACUCUGCGUUGCGUCUUGCGUAAGAACAGCCCUAUCGGGCACAUACCACACGUCCUCCGGCCUUAUUGCUUAGUUAGAAUAGACGACCACUCUGCUCAGUGGACUUGCUUUUUCUCAGCACUUGAAUGUCCAUUUCAUUGUGGAAUACAAAUAGCUUGUAGUUUUAAACAGCUUGUAAAUCUAUACAGUGGCAGUUUAUCCACUUCAUAAAUAUAAUGGUACCUUUCAAAAAGCACGACUCAAGUCGUGAUCGUGACAAUAUAAACAACAAAGUACAAAUUAAUUAGUGAAAUCUUUUGUAGGUUUUUUCAGCUGUAACUAACUUUCCUACUUCAACUAAUCAUGAUUAUGUGAGGCGGUGCCUCCGAGGUGAAGGCCAUGGCUAGACGGGAUCCAGCUUUUGUCAAUUUAAAUUCAGAUUUGACGUUUUGUAGCCGGUUAGGAAAAUUUAAACAGCAGGUUGGGAUAAUUAACGUUGCAGGUUAGAAUAAUUAGGUCCAGGUUAGGAAAAGAGUUAGGCUUAGCUAAAAUGCAACAAAAAUCAACUUUUGACGUUCAUUUGACAUAAACUGGAUCCCUUCUAGCCAUGAACGUGAAGGAUGCCACUCCUGAAGUGCAGCAAAUCUGCUAUAAAGUCCAUGUUGGUGGAGAUGAAUUUAUGCACCUGCGCGUCCAUAAAACACUACCCCACGCUGGCGGGAAACUGGAGCUGCAUGGAGUACAGACUCCAAAAACUCAAAAUGACCCUAUUGGUUUCUUCUGAAUACCUGUAACUCCCUGCAGAGGAUGCCACCCCCAUACUCCAGCCUCCAUGCCUGCUCUGGAUCAUGUGUACCCUUGUUUCUUAUGCUCGCCCAUAUUGUACUAUACUGUA